AAUCAGUAUGGAGUGGAGUUGUUUAACUCAUUUAUUUUCAAGGAAAAAAUUAUAGAUUUUUUCCAGGUCAUCCAGGUGCGUAACCUGGAUUAAUAACC
rnacentral:tRNA from 1 species